CACGGUGGUUGCAGGAGCCUAUCCCAGCAGUCAUAGGGCAUGAGGCAUGGUACACACUGAAUAGGAUGCUAGUCUGUAGCAGAGCCAUAUAUAGACAAACAAAUACAUUCACACUCACGUGCACACACACACACACACACACACACACACACACACACACACACA